AUUGAACGCUGGCGGCAUGCCUUACACAUGCAAGUCGAACGGUAACAGGUCUUCGGAUGCUGACGAGUGGCGAACGGGUGCGUAAUACAUCGGAACGUGCCCGAUCGUGGGGGAUAACGAGGCGAAAGCUUUGCUAAUACCGCAUACGAUCUACGGAUGAAAGCGGGGGAGCUUCGGACCUCGCGCGGACGGAGCGGCCGAUGGCAGAUUAGGUAGUUGGUGGGAUAAAAGCUUACCAAGCCGACGAUCUGUAGCUGGUCUGAGAGGAUGAUCAGCCACACUGGGACUGAGACACGGCCCAGACUCCUACGGGAGGCAGCAGUGGGGAAUUUUGGACAAUGGGCGAAAGCCUGAUCCAGCCAUGCCGCGUGCAGGAUGAAGGCCUUCGGGUUGUAAACUGCUUUUGUACGGAACGAAAAGCCUCUUUCUAAUAAAGAGGGGUCAUGACGGUACCGUAAGAAUAAGCACCGGCUAACUACGUG
rnacentral:rRNA from 1 species